AACGAACGCUGGCGGCAUGCCUAACACAUGCAAGUCGAACGGGAUCCUAGCUUGCUAGGUGAGAGUGGCGGACGGGUGAGUAACACGUGGGAACCUGCCUUUGGGUUCGGGAUAACCGCGGGAAACUGCGGCUAAUACCGGAUGCUCCCGAGAGGGGAAAGAUUUAUCGCCAGAAGAGGGGCCCGCGUCCGAUUAGGUAGUUGGUGGGGUAAAGGCCUACCAAGCCGACGAUCGGUAGCUGGUCUGAGAGGAUGAUCAGCCACACUGGGACUGAGAUACGGCCCAGACUCCUACGGGAGGCAGCGGUGGGGAAUAUUGGACGAUGGGGGCAACCCUGAUCCAGCAAUGCCGCGUGAGUGAUGAAGGCCUUAGGGUUGUAAAGCUCUUUUGCCAGGGAAGAUGAUGACUGUACCUGGAGAAUAAGCCCCGGCUAACUUCGUGCCAGCCGCCGCGGUAAGAC
rnacentral:rRNA from 1 species